rnacentral:rRNA from 1 species
UUGUGCCUACGGGAGGCAGCAGUGAGGAAUAUUGGUCAAUGGGCGGGAGCCUGAACCAGCCAAGCCGCGUGAGGGAAGAAGGUACAGCGUAUCGUAAACCUCUUUUGUCAGGGAACAAAGGCGGGGACUAGUCCCCGGAUGAGGGUAACUGAAGAAGAAGCACCGGCUAACUCCGUGCCAGCAGCCGCGGUAAUACGGAGGAUGCGAGCGUUAUCCGGAUUUAUUGGGUUUAAAGGGUGCGCAGGCGGCCUG